rnacentral:rRNA from 1 species
UACAGAGGUCUCAAGCGUUGUUCGGAUUCAUUGGGCGUAAAGGGUGCGUAGGCGGCGCGGUAAGUCGGGUGUGAAAUUUCGAGGCUUAACUUCGAAACUGCAUUCGAUACUGCCGUGCUAGAGGACUGGAGAGGAGACUGGAAUUUACGGUGUAGCGGUGAAAUGCGUAGAUAUCGUAAGGAAGACCAGUGGCGAAGGCGGGUUGCUGGGCCGACACUGACGCUGAGGCGCGAAAGCCAGGGGAGCGAACGGG